rnacentral:rRNA from 1 species
AACGAACGCUGGCGGCAUGCCUAACACAUGCAAGUCGAACGAGACCUUCGGGUCUAGUGGCGCACGGGUGCGUAACGCGUGGGAACCUGCCCUUAGGUUCGGAAUAACUCCCCGAAAGGGGUGCUAAUACCGGAUAAUGUCUUCGGACCAAAGAUUUAUCGCCUUUGGAUGGGCCCGCGUUGGAUUAGCUAGUUGGUAGGGUAAAAGCCUACCAAGGCGACGAUCCAUAGUUGGUCUGAGAGGAUGAUCAGCCACACUGGGACUGAGACACGGCCCAGACUCCUACGGGAGGCAGCAGUGGGGAAUAUUGGACAAUGGGCGAAAGCCUGAUCCAGCAAUGCCGCGUGAGUGAUGAAGGCCUUAGGGUUGUAAAGCUCUUUUACCCGGGAUGAUAAUGACAGGACCGGGAGAAUAAGCUCCGGCGAACUCCGU